CAAUAAAGUUUUAUAAUUGUUAGGCUAACGUAAAUCAAUCUUUUGGUCCAAUAUUAAGAAAAGAAUUUAGUUAUGUUUAGAAAGAAUCAAAGAAGUGCAGAAAUUUUAUGGGCCCUUUUUUAUUAAAUAUUUUUUUUCUACAAAGGAUAUUUUUUUGGGUGAACUGCAAAACUAACCAGUUUCCAACACUAAAUUAAGAAAAUAGCACUAUAAUUCUAGAAAUUAAGAAACUAACACAUGAGAAUUGAGAAAUAUCCACUUUAUCCUCAUCUUGUUAAUAUAAGACCUUUUUUCCUUAAAAAAAGAGAGACCCCCAAGUUCUUUUUUUCUCUCCCAGGCACUACUUACGAGAUAACUAAAAACAGCAAAUGGUUUCAAAAAAAGUAGAUUUUGACCAUUUCUUUUAGCCAUUAUUGGUAAUUUUUGUUCUUCUUUGGUCGAAUCUUUCUUUUUCUCUGACGAUGCUCCCCUGUUUGUCUUUGUUUCUCCUCUCUUUUAUGCCUUCUCCAGUCCUCUCUUUUCUCUGCUCAGUGCCUCUUCUCAGCCUCUUCAUCCUUAAUUGAGUAGACCAAAUGAUGCUCUCACUCUGAAGACCUUCCUGCAUAAGCAGAGCAUCUGUUCCCCUGUUUUUCUAGCUCUAAGCUAAGAUAAUUUCUGGUGCUUCUGAAUAUCUAGAGAUCUCUCUUUUCUCUUUUUCUAGCACUAAGCUAAGCUCUUUUCAAAUUCAUUUGUUCACUCUUUAAACCUUCUCAUGGCAAAAUGAGUCAGGCCAAGUUGGUAUUGAGAUUCUCCUCCCAAGGAAGCACCUUUUGCUUUUGAACCUGAAGACGAUGAUGAUGUGGUGGUUCUUCCUCAGGUGGAUAAUUCUGCUUUGUUAGCCCGCCUCAAUCUCAGUCUAGUGGGACGCAUGUUUCAUCAAGGAGGCCGGAGUAUUGAAGCGCUUCUCUCCUUCUUACCCAAAGAGAACAUAUGGGAUGUUGAAGGAAGAGUUUGAGGUGUCUCUCUGAAUGAUUCUCGGUUUCAGUUUUUCUUUGAGACUGAAGCGGAUCUAAAGAAGGUCCUGAAUAAACGCCCAUGUCAUUUCGGUAAAUGGUCUUUUGCUCUCGAGAGAUGGGAACCUAAUCUUAGAGCUGCUUUCCCAAACUCAAUGACGUUUUGGACCAGAACGGAAGGAAUACCUCCAGAAUUUUGGGAAGAGCAGAUCUUAACAAUAAAGUGGCCACUCUAGAAGAUCUGUUUCUCCAGCUAGUGAUAGAAGAAUAAAGGGGAAUAUCUAAUUCAUUCUGAGAUACUUGUUACGCUGGUAAUAGACAGUACCAUCAGAGGUCCCCUCCCCCUCCUCUCCGUUAUCAAGUUCCCCGUAACUCACAUUUCUCUCGGGCCACUAACGCUGCAAGACGUCCUUCUGGAUCCGGUAAUAUUAAAGAGAGAAUUGUUGAGGAUGGGAGAAAACGUCAAUUUGAGGAAUCCUUUUCCCAAGAUAAGAAUGGUGAACCCUCUAAUAAAGAUCGUUAUUACCAUUCCCGUUUUAAACCUACCUCUUCACAUCGUUCCAGAGAGAAACAAGGAAUGGAACUGAACAGUUCACACUUAUCUGACUCUCAACUUACAACCUCGAAGCCUCUUGUUGCUUCCUCAAGAGCCAAGCAAGGAAAUUCAUCCCCUGCUCUUGUGCGAGAAAGACUGUUUCGCUUGAACUUGUCAAAAAAGGCCAUUCUCUCGGAUGAAGACAAGGGCAAGGAGAUUGAUUUACCUCGUCAUUCCCCAGUGAUUUCUUCUGAAACUGGAAGCUCUGCAAAUAAAUCCUUGACUUUUGACCGCCUUAAUCCACGAGAGGAUGAACCCAUCUCUGCAACAAAUCUCGGCUCUGUGCCUUUGUGUUCUCAGUUGGAGAAAAGAAAGAGUUGGUACGAGAUGACCUUGGAAGAAGAAGCAGAAGAUCAAGACGAAGAUGAGGACACUCCUGAAGAAAACCCUGAAUCUGAGCCUGCAAAUUCUCUGGCGGUGAAGUUCUCUAAAUCAAUAAACUUUACUAGUCCUGCAAAUCUUUCUAACCUCCCAGUGACGAUAACGGCGACUCACGACGCUGAGGAUGGUUGGGUUGAUAACCACCAUUUGAUGUCGGAGGCCCUUAAUCUGGACUGGACGGUGGAGGAUGACGAAGCGUACCACGCUCUUGAACCUUCCCUCCCUGGAGAUACUGAAGAUUUCGAUGUUGAAAAUGAUGAUCUUCUAGGAGAAGAUCUUUAGGAAAGCAUACCUUUAGAUGCGAAGCUGCAAUCUGAGACUGAAUCUCUACCGGAGCUCAAGUCAAUUUGAACUCGCCUACGAUGGUGAAGAAGCUGUCCGAGUCCGUAGCGACUCAAAAUUUUGGCUGUUUGAUGGAUCAAGGCCCAUCCAACUCUAAGUCCAAAAAGAAAGAUUUAAAAAAGGAAGAGAUGGGCCAAAACCGGAAGGUGCAGCCCAAUCCAGCUCUCUUGCUUAAUUCAAAACAACAGGGGGCGUUCUCCUAGCAAGAGGAUUUCUAAUCGAGUCAACAAGCCCAAGACAUCUAGACCAAAAAAUCGUAGGCGAGCUGCUUCGGUUCCACAACUUCAAAUGUUACCAUCCACAAAGAUCAAGCUUUCAGAGUCAACUGUUAUUUCUGUGGGGUCUACAACCUCUACCGAAACUAACACAUGAUGAUUUUAGCAUGGAAUUGUCAACGGGCGGGUGCUGAUCUUACAACUCGUCGACUAGAGGAGAUGUGUCGUAUGUAUUCCCUAGGUUUUCUUUUUUAUCGGAAACCAAAAAUGACCUUAGUCAUAUUCAGGGUUUGCAAGUGUCAUUAGUUUUUGAUUCUUUUUAUAUUGUUGAGCCGAUUGGCAGCAGUGGCGGUCUUGCCCUUAUGUAAUCGAAAGAUUAUCUGGUUAAGUUUGUUUUUGUUAGUGACCGGCUUAUUGAUAUUGAAAUUAUUAUUGAUGGAAAUCGAGUUUUUAUUACCUUUGUGUAUGGACAUCCGGUAAUCCAAUACCGAGAAUUAGUUUGGGAACGUUUGACUCGAAUAGGUAUCACCCGUUCGAAACCAUGGUUUAUGAUUGGUGAUUUUAUUGAGAUUAUUGGAAACCACGAAAAAAGGGAGAUAAAAGUAGAUAUGAAUCUUCUUUUCUCCCAUUCCGAUGCAUGAUUGAAAAUUGUGGGAUGAUCGAGGUGCCCUCUCACGGUAAUUUGUUCUCAUGGGUGGGACACCGUAGCUGUGGAGUUACGAGGCGGCGUGUCCGUCGAGUCAUUAAAUCUCGGUUAGAUAGAGCUUUGGGCAAUGAAGAAUGGCAUACCAUUUUUUCCCACUCAAAUGUGGAGUAUCUAAAAUUAUGGGGUUCCGACCAUAGACCCCUUUUAGCUUCAAUUCAGAAUAGCCCCCAUCGCCUUUUCAAACCAUUUAUUUUUUUUUAUAAAAGAUGGCUUAGCAAACCGGGCUUUAAGGAGUCGGUUCAUGGAGGUUGUGAGGUCCCUCCUCAAGGAGGAGUUAUUUUUUUCUC
rnacentral:sRNA from 1 species